GCGCGGGCUCUGCAGCCGCGCGCUCGCACGCUCGCUCUCCGCCCGCCCUUGCACGCCCAGUCUGGCUGCCCGAGCAGGGCGCACCGAUCGCACUACGCUCGCGGGGCCCAUCUCCUGCUGCGUCCCUCCUCCCCUGACUCUCCAGGGGCUGCCCCCACAGGAGUCCGUGCCCUCAACUGCCGGGUAGGAGCAGAUGUCCGGAGAAAGGCCAGGCGGCACGGGGGGUGUACCAUCAGCGGACACCUCCUCAACUCCCCUUCUGUGCUCAGAAAGUCCGAGAACAUCUGAAGAAUCUUCUCCAGCCCACCUCCACCCUAAGAAGCCCACGGGAAGCAGCCUGGUGUUUUAUUUGGUUCUCCUAAUGCAAAAGUCUCUCUGGGCUUCUGGGAACUAUGCCUUUUGAGGGUGAG
rnacentral:lncRNA from 1 species